rnacentral:lncRNA from 1 species
AAGUAAAAUAUCCACCCCUUUUUAUGCCAGCAGAGAAAUUGAAAGUAGAAAGACCUCCACCAUCUCUAACAAUAGUAGAACUGGAUAGUACUCAUGGAGCAGAAUUUGAAGACCCAGGGGUUGCUGUGCCUUAUAGAGUUGAAUUGGCUGACUCAGAGAGUCAACUAAGUUCUACAUUUCCGGAUUAUCAGACUUGCUUACCAGGUGAAAAUGAUAUCCAUCACCACCUUAUUUUCAACAAGGGAAAAGCAGACCUCUUAAGUAUGUGUUUGAGAACAAAUUCUGGGCACCACAAGGAUGAGUUAAAAGAGGAGAUUUCAUCUCAAGACAUCAACACAUCAUUGACCUCCUUGAGAUGCCAUGUGAGAGUGAGCCCUCUGGAACUGAGUCCAGCACUCCUGGAAGAAAUAGUGAAAUGCAGCCUUUGCUGUCACUUGGGGAUUGCAGCACAGAUGAGGAAGAAGAAGAUUUUCUUGACAAGCAGAAUGUCAUUACACUACCAUGGGCAAAGAGGGCUUAACAGUUCAUUACUUUCCAUUCUGUACUCAAAAUAAACCAAACAACUGAGUGAUUAACUUUUGCAGGUAUUGGAGAUUAUUAAAGGCUCUGAUGUUUCUAAGCUUUAAACCAAUAAAGAUUAGUGAUCUU